CAAAAUGGAGGACGAAAAGAACACAUCUCAAACAGCGACAAAAGAAAAUAAAAAAUCUCGUAAAAGAAAAAGUAAUAUCCAAAGUGGRAUUAAAGAUCAAGAUAAUGAUAUUAUUGGUUGUUUACAAGAGAUUUCGAAGUGUUUUGGAGUAGGAGGAUUGUAUUCCAGCAAGAAAAGGAAGAUAGAAACACAUAAAGAAACAUUACCAAUGCUGAAUGAAG